GAACGCCGUAUGAGGUGAAAAUCUCACGUACGGUGUGGAGUGGGGGAAAAGGUGGAAAAUCUUAUUAUUUUAA
rfam:Lachnobacterium bovis DSM 14045 genome assembly, contig: IE72DRAFT_scaffold00001.1